CUUAACUCCACACAGUGUUGAUUUUUACCAGUCUGCGGGUGUGUGCGGCAGAGCUCUGAUGUGCAUGGAAUUUUCUCUGAAAAGCUGCCACAGUCAAAAAGGUUUAAGAGUGUGCAAAAACCAAAUCUCUGAGAGAUGCAACCAGAAGAUGGAUUAGAAACAUACUUGAGGCUGAGAUGACAGAAUAACAUGGGUAAUAAUCAAAAAUGACAUCUCCCCCUAAAAGCGUAAGAGUAAUGUCUGCGCAGGGCAUUGUUGCUCUGUCUCCAUAUCUGAAAGGCCCAUAUUCACAACAUGGAUAUAAACAUUACUACGAUCCAGAGAGCGGUUCAGGAUACAUUGCAUGGUUGAAGACCAUUCAAAGAAAAGCUGCGGAGGAAAGAAGCAUCUCAGUUUGCAAAUCUCCCAAAAUCCAUGGUUGAUCCAGACCACUCACCACUAAGUGUUAUCAGAUGAGGCUGUAAGAGCAGAUAUUGCUCUUUUGAGACACUCUGCUGAUGAAGACACUAUCCGUGAAAAGAUGAAAGCUACCUCCAUUUAUCGGCAUUCAAUGGUCAACGAUGAAAAGAAUGCAGCAGAUGUUUUCAGAGGCCUGAUGCAGUUUCUGGACACACCAGGAAUGAUAGAACAAGAUUUCCGACUCCUGUUUUGUAAGGUCAAUGCAAGCAAAUUCUUGGAGAGGUAGCCCAUCAAUCUCAAAGCAAAGGUUGUAAAGGAAAGUCAUGGACAUGUCCCCACCUCAGAGCUCUUGGAGUUAAUGUGAAAUGCUGAUUCAGGCUGGGACAGUGACAUGUCUACUAUCUUGCUGCUGCUACAUCUGCUACCACCAUCUGCACAAGAGCGAAAGAGACCAGGAAAGAUGUCUGCAUCUCAAGCUGUCGAUAACCUCAUUAAAUUCCCAAAGGCUGGAACCAGUGUACAGCAGCAUCUAGACAACAGCAGUCAGCCCUACCUUCUUGACUCAGGGAUCCACAAGAAGCAGCAUUCACACCUUCAUUGUGAUUGAGAAGCAUGCACUUCCUCCCUUCCCAGGAAGGUGGCACAGAUGCCCCUCCAGUGGUAC